rnacentral:rRNA from 1 species
UUAUAUGAGAGUUUGAUCCUGGCUCAGGAUGAACGCUGGCGGUGUGCCUAAUACAUGCAAGUCGAACGCGUUGGCCCAAUUGACUGAUGGUGCUUGCACCUGAUUGAUUUUGGUCGCCAACGAGUGGCGGACGGGUGAGUAACACGUAGGUAACCUGCCCAGAAGCGGGGGACAACAUUUGGAAACAGAUGCUAAUACCGCAUAACAACGUUGUUCGCAUGAACAACGCUUAAAAGAUGGCUUCUCGCUAUCACUUCUGGAUGGACCUGCGGUGCAUUAGCUUGUUGGUGGGGUAANGGCCUACCAAGGCGAUGAUGCAUAGCCGAGUUGAGAGACUGAUCGGCCACAAUGGGACUGAGACACGGCCCAUACUCCUACGGGAGGCAGCAGUAGGGAAUCUUCCACAAUGGGCGCAAGCCUGAUGGAGCAACACCGCGUGAGUGAAGAAGGGUUUCGGCUCGUAAAGCUCUGUUGUUAAAGAAGAACACGUAUGAGAGUAACUGUUCAUACG